rnacentral:rRNA from 1 species
UACGUAGGAUGCAAGCGUUGUCCGGAAUUAUUGGGCGUAAAGAGCUCGUAGGCGGCCUGUCGCGUCGACUGUGAAAACCCAGGGCUCAACCCUGGGCCUGCAGUCGAUACGGGCAGGCUAGAGUGCAGUAGGGGAGACUGGAAUUCCUGGUGUAGCGGUGAAAUGCGCAGAUAUCAGGAGGAACACCGGUGGCGAAGGCGGGUCUCUGGGCUGUAACUGACGCUGAGGAGCGAAAGCGUGGGGAGCAAACAGG